AUGGUAGCUGUGGGUGUCACCCAGCCCAGUGUGACGGUGCUGCCCCCCUCCAGUGUGGAGCUGCAGCAGGAGAAGGUCACACUCAUGUGUGUGGCCUACAAGGGCUUCCCCUCGGACUGGAAGUUGAGCUGGAAGGUUGAUGGCAGCAGCUGGAGCUCGGGGGAAAGCAGCAGCACCUCCGUUCUGAACGCUGACGGCUUCUACAGCUGGAGCAGCACACUGAGCCUCCACCGGGAGCAGUGGAGGAACAAGGUGGUGACCUGUGAGGCCUCCAAAGACAACCAACCUACUGUGGUGAGCACAGUGAACACAGAGCAGUGCUCAGAGCUGUGAGAUCACACACACUUUACUCAGCUCACCUUCUACUGCUUCACUGUGUGGUACAUGUGGCCUUUACUGCUCAAAUCAUCCUCUCUCAUCAUUUCAUUUGUGUUAUUAACAUGUGAGCUCACACACUCCUCAGUUUAACUCAGCUCUUCUU